CUUUCUCUAUGGAUCGUGGCUAGGUCACCACAGCAGUUUGUUCUCUGCUACCGCCUCGUGUCCUUUGCUAUGUGCCCGAAAAACCUAGUGCGUUCCCUUCUUUGCCGCUAGUGGCCAGCGGCUCUGACAGCCAGGUCUACGCACAUUUUUUUCCCCGAGAAACGACGCAACUGUAUCAAGCAAAUGGCGACGUCUUCGCGCUGCGAGCAAAAGAGAAACAACCGGCGGUGGUCCUUUUCAAGGUUCAUUACACCGUCUGCUGCCAAGUCCGUUCGGACCAGAGACCAGUUAUCGGAACGAGCUCCUACGUCGAAGCAGGUUCUUUGUGAAGCUAGAUCGACUACAAGUUAUUCCACAUCUACGAUAUACAACCACAUUCGCUAUGAGAAGUGGCUCUUCUGGCUUUAGUGCAAGUGACGCCGGGAGCUGCCAGACAAACUGGACCAGCACGAUCGUGAACCGGAGCCUGACAAUUCUCAUCUUGCUUGACAUGUGUCGGACCAAUGAAUGUAUGGGUGUAAUAAAACGUUU